GAUGAACGCUGGCGGCGUGCCUAAUACAUGCCAGUCGAGCGAACAGACGAGGAGCUUGCUCCUCUGACGUUAGCGGCGGACGGGUGAGUAACACGUGGAUAACCUACCUAUAAGACUGGGAUAACUUCGGGAAACCGGAGCUAAUACCGGAUAAUAUAUUGAACCGCAUGGUUCAAUAGUGAAAGACGGUUUUGCUGUCACUUAUAGAUGGAUCCGCGCCGCAUUAGCUAGUUGGUAAGGUAACGGCUUACCAAGGCAACGAUGCGUAGCCGACCUGAGAGGGUGAUCGGCCACACUGGAACUGAGACACGGUCCAGACUCCUACGGGAGGCAGCAGUAGGGAAUCUUCCGCAAUGGGCGAAAGCUUGACGGAGCAACGCCGCGUGAGUGAUGAAGGUCUUCGGAUCGUAAAACUCUGUUAUUAGGGAAGAACAAAUGUGUAAGUAACUAUGCACGUCUUGACGGUACCUAAUCAGAAAGCCACGGCUAACUACGUG
rnacentral:rRNA from 1 species